UGNUCUGUCACUGACGCUGAGGCUNGAAAGCGUGGGUAGCGAACAGGAUUAGAUACCCUGGUAGUCCACGCCGUAAACGAUGAGUGCUAGGUGUUAGGCCCUNUCCGGGGCUUAGUGCCGGAGCUAACGCAAUAAGCACUCCGCCUGGGGAGUACGACCGCAAGGUUGAAACUCAAAGGAAUUGACGGGGGCCCACACAAGCGGUGGAGCAUGUGGUUUAAUUCGAAGCAACGCGAAGAACCUUACCAGGUCUUGACAUCCCGAUGCUAUUCUUAGAGAUAGGAAGUUACUUCGGUACAUCGGAGACAGGUGGUGCAUGGUUGUCGUCAGCUCGUGUCGUGAGAUGUUGGGUUAAGUCCCGCAACGAGCGCAACCCUUAUUGUUAGUUGCCAUCAUUAAGUUGGGCACUCUAGCGAGACUGUCGGUAAUAAACCGGAGGAAGGUGGGGAUGACGUCAAAUCAUCAUGCCCCUUAUGACCUGGGCUACACACGUGCUACAAUGGUUGGUACAACGAGUUGCGAGCCGGUGACGGCAAGCUAAUCUCUGAAAGCCGAUCUCAGCUCGGAUUGGAGGCUGCAACUCGCCUCCAUGAAGUCGGAAUCGCUAGUAAUCGCGGAUCAGCACGCCGCGGUGAAUACGUUCCCGGGCCUUGUACACACCGCCCGUCACACCACGAGAGUUUGUAACACCCGAAGUCGGUGAGGUAACCUUUUAGGGGCCA
rnacentral:rRNA from 1 species